rnacentral:lncRNA from 10 species
CGGCGCCGCCCAAACCCUGGCGCCGGAGUCUCGGCCACCGGACCAGAGCCUGCCCCCGGGGCCGCCUUGGAAAACCCGGCGCGGACAUAAAAUUAAAGCGGACGGGCUGCGGAGGCGACUGCAGAUUGACCUGUGAACUUCAGACAGGCCACCUACCUACGCUGAGCUCCUGCUUCUGAAAAAUGGGGGAAAUUGUAACUAGAGGCCCAGUUACUUACAAAGACUAAAUGAGAUAAUGAUAGAAAAUAAUAAUGGCACUUUAUAUAUGCCAGGCUCUGUACUAGACUCUUAUUUUUUGAAUUGUAUGAAUGAAGGAACUGAAACACAAAUAAGUGUCUUACUAAGGUCAUACAGCUAAUUAUAUAGCUGAAUUAGAAUCCAAGUCUAACUGUAAAUAUUUAACCAUCUGCUAGUAUAUUGGAAAAGAAGACAUUAAGUCAUUCCCUCCCACAGCCAAAAUCCAUUUGGAAAGGGGAAGCAAAAAUGUAUUUGCCUGGUGCCUGUCACAUUUAGAUUGUUUAACAAGGGAACGCUGGUGCCUGUAGCACUCCUAGCUUCUCCCAUCAUCCACUUAGCAAACUCCUCCUUCUUUCUCAGGACAUAAUUCAAGUUUCACCUCCUUUGCAAAGUAUCUUUUUCUCUUCCUUAUGUCAGAGUUACACACUCUCCUUUAUAACCUUUCUUCUCUACCUUGUGAAGUCAUCACCCUAAUGACAGUUUACACCUAUCUAUCCCUCUAGAUUAAGAGCUCCUCAAUGGCAAGAACUGUUUUCAAUAUAUUUCUAUAUCGUCAGACCCUAGCAUUACAGUGCAUGCUCAGUAAAGGCCUUCGUUCCUGCCUAUAUUAAACAUAACACAUCCUACACCUUCUGAUGCUGCCAACCUUCAGUUGGAAUACCCAGUUACUUGAAAUUCAUCUUCAAAGUCUCAGAGUAUAUACCACCUACUUCAAGAAGCCUUCUAGGAACUCCACACCCCACCUCUAAGUUGUUCUGAUGUGACCGUUUUUAUACUCUGCCUUAUCUGUAAGCGUUAGUUGAGGGUUUGUCUCCACCUCACUGCACUGUAAAAUCCUUGAGGACAAGGGGCUGACUCACUGCUUUAUCUCCCUCAUAGUUUAGCCUACCACAGAGGCCUCAAUAAAUGUAUUUGCCCGAAUUGGUCUUAAUUUCUUAGUCACGAUGGCUUCCC